CAGCCGCCGCGGUAAUACGUAGGGUGCAAGCGUUAAUCGGAAUUACUGGGCGUAAAGCGUGCGCAGGCGGUUUGUUAAGACAGAUGUGAAAUCCCCGGGCUCAACCUGGGAACUGCAUUUGUGACUGGCUAGCUAGAGUGUGGCAGAGGGGGGUGGAAUUCCGCGUGUAGCAGUGAAAUGCGUAGAUAUGCGGAGGAACACCGAUGGCGAAGGCAGCCCCCUGGGCCAACACUGACGCUCAUGCACGAAAGCGUGGGGAGCAAACAGGAUUAGAUACCCGCGUAGUCCCUGUCUCUUAUAC
rnacentral:rRNA from 1 species